rnacentral:rRNA from 1 species
CAUGCAGGCGGUUACAUAAGUCAGGUGUGAAAUCCCCGCGCUUAACGUGGGCAUUGCAUUUGAAACUAUGUAGCUAGAGUUCUGUAGAGGGGGGUAGAAUUCCAGGUGUAGAGGUGAAAUUCGUAGAUAUUGGAAAGAACACCAGUAGCGAAGGCGGCUAUCUGGCGCGGUAUUGACGCUGAGAUGCGAAAGCGUGGGGAGCAAACAGGGUUAGAUACCCCCGUA